UUCCUACGGGUGGCUGCAGUGGGGAAUAUUGCGCAAUGGGGGAAACCCUGACGCAGCGACGCCGUGUGAGGGAAGAAGGCCUUCGGGUCGUAAACCUCUGUCGGGAGGGAAGAACCGCCGGGUUCCGAACAGGGACUCGGCCUGACGGUACCUCCGAAGGAAGCGCCGGCUAACUCCGUGCCAGCAGCCGCGGUAAUACGGAGGGCGCGAGCGUUAAUCGGAAUCACUGGGCGUAAAGCGCGCGUAGGCGGCGAGAGAGGUCGGGCGUGAAAGCCCUCGGCUCAACCGAGGAACUGCGUUCGAUACUGUUUGGCUUGAGUCCUGGAGAGGGUGGCGGAAUUCCGGGUGUAGGAGUGAAAUCCGUAGAUAUCCGGAGGAACACCGGUGGCGAAGGCGGCCACCUGGACAGGUACUGACGCUGAGGUGCGAAAGCGUGGGGAGCAAACAGGAUUAGAUACCCUAGUAGUCAG
rnacentral:rRNA from 1 species